rnacentral:snoRNA from 1 species
UUAACUUGUAGCAAAGACUUACAGACAAGUGAAAGAAAUAAAUCCUCUUUUGCACCCCAUAACUCAUUGCUGAGUAUGAGAUUUGGCACAUAUAAGAAGGAAUAUG